CCAGACCAGAGACUGCUCUUAUGUGGUUGAGAGCUGAAAUGGAAUAACUCAGGUACUCCUCUUUUCAAUUAGUCCAUGUUACUAAACUCCUUGCUAGCCAUUUAGUCCAUGUUGUUGCUGCUGCUGCUGUAAAGACAUUAUUUUCUGCUGAAAUGGAUAGUUGUUUUAAAUAUAUUUAUGAAGUUCUUUUGCAAACUAUUAGACUGACUGGUUAUAGGAAUACUUUGCUUGAAUAAUACAACCUUUUUUCAAAUGAUUGCUUGAUGUAUCGACACAGGUUGACAAGUGCUUGUGUUGUAGCUAGUCUAGGCUGAUUUUCUUGUGGUUGUAGUCAUUGUCUAUUUCUAAACUGCUAUGAUGCCUUGUCCCUAGAAAAUAAAAAGGGAUGCUUUUAACAUAGAUCAGAGGAUAGAGAUUGAUUUACCUAUUGUUUAUCUAUGUUUUUCUCAUUGUUCCCAUUCCUGGAAAUAAAACUGCCAAGUAUUUCACUCUCAAACUAAUUUUGGGUUUGAAUGGUUUCAAAAAGCAGGAGUUCUACAUAAGAAUGCUCCCGAAGAAGAGCGAAGGUGCCACGACUUGGAUCUAUUUGUGUGUGCUUUUCAGUGGAAGGCUUCAUAUCUAUUCGCUGGGUUUUGUCCAUGUAAUAUUUGUAGAGAAACUAAACACUAUUUCUGAAACGACUGACUGUAGCAUGGAAGAUUUUGGGAGGAACUGAUAAUUAAGCUCUUGUGGUCUAUUCAACAUAUUAUAUAUUAUGUAUGCUCCAAAUUGCUAUUAUUUUUG
rnacentral:lncRNA from 1 species